rnacentral:rRNA from 1 species
CUCGGAGUUUGAUCCUGGCUCAGGAUGAACGCUAGCGGUAGGCCUAACACAUGCAAGUCGAGGGGGUAGAGGAAGCUUGCUUCCUUGAGACCGGCGCACGGGUGCGUAACGCGUAUGCAAUCUACCUUAUACAGGGGAAUAGCCCAGAGAAAUUUGGAUUAAUGCCCCAUAGUGUUAUUGAAUCGCAUGGUUUAAUAACUAAAGUUCCAACGGUAUAAGAUGAGCAUGCGUCCCAUUAGUUAGUUGGUAAGGUAACGGCUUACCAAGACAAUGAU